UACGUAGGUGGCAAGCGUUGUCCGGAUUUACUGGGCGUAAAGAGCGCGCAGGCGGUCGUUCAAGUCGCGUGUGAAAGCCCCCGGCUCAACUGGGGAGGGUCACGCGAUACUGAUCGACUCGAAGGCAGGAGAGGGUAGUGGAAUUCCCGGUGUAGUGGUGAAAUGCGUAGAUAUCGGGAGGAACACCGAUGGCGAAGGCAGCACUCUGGGCCGGCACUGACGCUGAGGAGCGAAAGCGUGGGGAGCGAACAGG
rnacentral:rRNA from 1 species